rnacentral:rRNA from 1 species
GACGAACGCUGGCGGCAUGCCUAAUACAUGCAAGUCGAGCGAACAGAUGAAGUGCUUGCACUUCUGACGUUAGCGGCGAACGGGUGAGUAACACGUAAGGAAUCUACCUAUAAGCGGGGGAUAACAUUCGGAAGCGGGUGCUAAUACCGCAUAAUAUCUUCUUCCGCAUGGAAGAAGAUUGAAAGACGGCUCUGCUGUCACUUAUAGAUGACCUUGCGGUGCAUUAGUUAGUUGGUGGGGUAAUGGCCUACCAAGACGAUGAUGCAUAGCCGACCUGAGAGGGUGAUCGGCCACAUUGGGACUGAGACACGGCCCAAACUCCUACGGGAGGCAGCAGUAGGGAAUCUUCCGCAAUGGGCGAAAGCCUGACGGAGCAAUGCCGCGUGAGUGAAGAAGGCCUUCGGGUCGUAAAACUCUGUUAUAAGAGAAGAACAAAUUGUAGAGCAACUGCUACAGUCUUGACGGUAUCUUAUCAGAAAGCCACGGCUAACUACGUGCCAGCCGCCGCGGUAA